UACGUGAGGUGCAAGCGUUGUCCGGAAUUAUUGGGCGUAAAGAGCUCGUAGGCGGUCUGUCGCGUCUGCUGUGAAAUCCCGGGGCUCAACUCCGGGCUUGCAGUGGAUACGGGCAGACUAGAGUUCGGUAGGGGAGACUGGAAUUCCUGGUGUAGCGGUGAAAUGCGCAGAUAUCAGGAGGAACACCGGUGGCGAAGGCGGCAUCCUGGACCAACACUGACGCUGAUGAGCGAAAGCCAGGGGAGCAAACGGG
rnacentral:rRNA from 1 species